GACGUACUCCCUCUUGUCAUCAAAAUGAACAAAAGGGGAUGUAUCUAGACGUAUUUUAGUUCUACAUACAUCUCCUUUUAUCCAUUUUGAUGACAAGUAUUUUCAGUUGGAGGGAGUAUAAA
rnacentral:pre_miRNA from 1 species